rnacentral:rRNA from 1 species
CCCUUAGAUGUUCUGGGCUGCACGCGCGCUACACUGAUGCGUUCAACGAGUUUACGGCCUUGCCCGAUAGGGUUGGGUAAUCUUCUUAAAACGCAUCGUGAUGGGGAUAGAUUAUUGCAAUUAUUAAUUUUCAACGAGGAAUUCCCAGUAAGCGCGAGUCAUAAGCUCGCGUUGAUUACGUCCCUGCCCUUUGUACACACCGCCCGUCGCUACUACCGAUUGAACGGUUUAGUGAGGGCCUCGGAUUGGUCUCGGCCCGCUCUUUACCGGGCGGCGCCGUUGGUCGAGAAGACGCUCGAACUUGAUCGUUUAGAGGAAGUAAAAGUCGUAACA